UACAGAGGGUGCGAGCGUUAAUCGGAAUUACUGGGCGUAAAGGGCGCGUAGGCGGCCUGCUAAGUCGGAUGUGAAAUCCCUCGGCUCAACCGAGGAACUGCAUCCGAUACUGGCGGGCUUGAAUCCGGGAGAGGGAUGUGGAAUUCCAGGUGUAGCGGUGAAAUGCGUAGAUAUCUGGAGGAACACCGGUGGCGAAGGCGGCAUCCUGGACCGGUAUUGACGCUGAGGCGCGAAAGCUAGGGGAGCAAACGGG
rnacentral:rRNA from 1 species